rnacentral:rRNA from 1 species
GUCAGCUCGUGUUGUGAAAUGUUGGGUUAAGUCCCGCAACGAGCGCAACCCUUAUCCUUUGUUGCCAGCGGUCCGGCCGGGAACUCAAAGGAGACUGCCAGUGAUAAACUGGAGGAAGGUGGGGAUGACGUCAAGUCAUCAUGGCCCUUACGACCAGGGCUACACACGUGCUACAAUGGCGCAUACAAAGAGAAGCGACCUCGCGAGAGCAAGCGGACCUCAUAAAGUGCGUCGUAGUCCGGAUUGGAGUCUGCAACUCGACUCCAUGAAGUCGGAAUCGCUAGUAAUCGUGGAUCAGAAUGCCACGGUGAAUACGUUCCCGGGCCUUGUACACACCGCCCGUCACACCAUGGGAGUGGGUUGCAAAAGAAGUAGGUAGCUUAACCUUCGGGAGGGCGCUUACCACUUUGUGAUUCAUGACUGGGGUGAAGUCGUAACAAGGUAACCGUAGGGGAACCUGCGGUUGGAUCACCUCCUUA